GACGAACGCUGGCGGCGUGCUUAACACAUGCAAGUCGAACGGAAAGGCCCUGCCUUUGUGGGGUGCUCGAGUGGCGAACGGGUGAGUAACACGUGAGUAACCUGCCCGUUACUUGGGGAUAACUUCUGGAAACUGGGGCUAAUACCGGAUAGUAGCUCCUGCUGCAUGGUGGUGGUUGGAAAGUUUCGGCGGUUGGGGAUGGACUCGCGGCUUAUCAGCUUGUUGGUGGGGUAGUGGCUUACCAAGGCCUUGACGGGUAGCCGGCCUGAGAGGGUGACCGGCCACAUUGGGACUGAGAUACGGCCCAGACUCCUACGGGAGGCAGCAGUGGAGAAUAUUGCACAAUGGGCGGAAGCCUGAUGCAGCAACGCCGCGUGCGGGAUGACGGCCUUCGGGUUGUAAACCGCUUUCGCCUGUGACGAAGCGUGAGUGACGGUAAUGGGUAAAGAAGCACCGGCUAACUACGUG
rnacentral:rRNA from 1 species